CGGCCCUCAGGCCCGCCUCCUCCGCCCUACCUUGGUCCGGAUCUGCCCCGAGCAGGGGCAACGCCGAUCCCUGGGGAAGAAUGGGAACCUGGAGCUUCCUCCCAGCACCCUUGGGUGCACCCGCCACCUCCUGAACCCCGAAUCUCUCCAGAGACACUUGGGCCUCGCCGCGCGGUUCCAGCUGAAUAAAAGUCCCCUCUGCCACCAAGACAGUCGGGGGCUGCCCCUCGUCGGUUUCCCCACCCCCAGCCCCACUCCGAGGACCGUACCUCUCCCGCCUCCGCCAGGGCCGUCGGGUCCCCUCAGCUCUCCUGACGGCGGCGUUCAGUUUCUGGCCCACCCCCACCCCCAUCCGGCGCACACGGAAGAGAAGAGCAUUUUCCGGGAGGUUCAGCUCCGCUCUGAGAACUUUUCGUUCAGAAAGAGCGAUCCCCUUCGGCUAACAGGAAACUGGGAAGGGCGUGGAGAAAGCGCAGAAACAAGAGACUACACGCAGCCCAAGACGACAGAACGCACAAGAAGUGUCUAAGCUGAAGCGCUAACCGAGAUUGCCUGGAAGAAAACAAUACACUCGAGCCAUGCGAACACCAGUACCCGAGACAAAAAGCCUUGGAAGUCCUGGCAGAGCCACUCCCUAGCCCGGACUAGAGCAGGAGGAAGUGGGAUCAACAGGCUGUAGCCACCGCGCACAACUCCCCUGCAAGCUGGCUGCGCGGGCACUUGGGAACCGCGGACUGGCAGCGGGUUGUGCACGCUCAACGUCAAAGAAGCCUCACAGGUGUGAGGGGGCUGCGGUGAGGGGGCUGCGAGAGAAGACAUUAAAACGACAGAUCCCUCUUGUCAUCCAAAGAGAACACCAAACUGGUGUUAGCUAUAUUUUUAAAUAGGACAAAAAGUCCCUGCCAGACUGUGGAGUCUCUCCACCUGGAGAAAGCAUUCAAUCUCUGUUAUGUUCAUGCCUUUCAGUACCAUUCCUUUCGUAUUUUUUCAGUUGACAUGACCUUUAAGGUUCCUCCAAACUAAGGUUCUAAUUUUUUUUUUUAACUUGCAGUCUUACUCCCAACAAGAAAUUUGAUAUAUUAGAGCUAACAGUUCUAAGAAGUUUUAAGAAAUAGUAUGCAAUCCCAAUACUGGACAUCACACUGUAAAUUAAAUUCAUUAAAAUGUAAAAUGUGUUUAGUUCAAAUAUUUAAAGACAGGAGACUGCUGCUAUGUAAUAAUAACAGAGAGGCUAUUUCUGCAGCUUCUGUUGUCUCCUUUAGGAAAGGAAGGAGUUGGGCAAAAUGAAUUUUAAGAACGCUUAGAACUCUACAAAUAUGUAAUUCUUUAUCUACAAAGAACAUAUUUCUGGAAAUUCUUAAAAGAGAAAAAUAAUCAAAAUAAUGGCCUUCAUUCCCACCUGUUUGGUCAUGGACAAGUCCAAUAUUUUGGAAAUGUAGACAAGGACACCUAGUAAAGGGUCUUUUGAAAGAAUAAACUUAGUUUAGUCUUCUCCUUUAAUGUAAAGAAACUAAGGCCCCAACUGACAAACUGAGACCAAAGUCAAAAUCAUGCGGUUAGUAUUCUAAUGUUCUAUUCACUUUAUCACACUGUAUAACAAAAGUCUGUCAGUUACCAUAUACUUCUAUUCAUACAUUAUGUGUUUUAUAUAGCAACAUUUUCCAGAAUCCAGGCAGCGAGUGAUUAAACUGAAAGGCAUUAUCUAAUGCCCAGCCUGAUUUUGUGAUUUUAACAGGUCAGAUUACGCAUCUCACUCUUUGAUUUGAACACUGAUUGCUUAAAGAUACUUAAAAAGUUUCAUAUCCCAGAGCUGAGCCAUUUAAUACCUCAAAGUAAAGGUAUUCCUUUCUCAUAAAGAUUUAACCUCAGAGCCAGCUUUGCACUUCUGCAAUCACCUCUUCUGAAGAGCCAGUUUCAACGAAUCCAUUAUUUAAGAUACCUGACUUACUAGCCUCUUCUCGGUCUUAUCUGUAAAUUAGAAGUUUUUAGAAUGAAUAUCUAAUUUGUGCACUGUGUACCUGCAAUGUACUUCACCUUCCUCAAGAGUAUUACAAGGUCAAGGUCUCAAUCUUUCCAACCAUUUCAACCAUGUAGCUCAAAAUAGCAACUGAAACAAUUUCAAAUAUGUGGUAUCUUACAUUAUUUAUUUGAUUUAUAAGAAUUCCUUGAUCUUUUCCUUACUUAGUGAUUUCAGAUUUUUCAGUAAUUGCUUAGAUGCAUCUUACAUUUUUAUUGUUACUUUGAAAUCUCUGUUCAGAACAUGUGACAAACACACUAUUAAAGACUUCAACAUAAGCUGUGUAGACACUGCAUUUAGGGUGAAAUGGAAAUAGGUGGUAGCUACCCCUAAAUUAGGUUUUUACUUAAUAGAGAUCCUGGCCCAUUAAAACAAAGAACACCUAUUAGACUGAAGAUGUGUAAGUCACAGCCAAAUUUCAUGUCAACUUUAUGAAUAUUCGUGUAUUAUUUUCUACAGAGGUAUUUUGAAUUGUAUUUUUACUGAUCACUACUCAUAACAAAAGGGGUUUUAUACCCAUUGGCAACUUUCAAAUCUCACAUAUUCUAUGGCUUUAUCUUAAAUAUUACGCCAUAAAUACGCAGAAUGUUACAUUUUAUAUCCUGAAGAGUUCAAAGUGUUCUAGGACUUGUGUUCCUAAUCAAUAAGGAACCAUGCAAAGAAUACUGCAGGUUGACCAAGUACAGGCAUUGAGAAGCUGCCUUAAUUAAAACUUAAGAACACGCUAUUUGCUACAUAUUAAGAAUUUAACAUUCGAAACUUUUAACCUAUUACCAUUUCCUUAGUUGUUACCUGAAUGAAAAAGAUUUGGGGAUUAACUGUGAUAUUAACUGCAUAUACAUAUGGUCAUCCUCGUAUCUGAGGCAAAAACCUUUCAUCAUCUAGACCUAAUGCAAAGAUGUUUAUAACCUCUCAUUUACAUUUUGGCCCUAUCCUUUGAAACUCUUUCCUUCCUAAUUUUCCUUUCGACCUGGAUAGUUUUAUCAGCGCUAACUAGUAUAAAACCAUUUCAAAAUAAAGCAAAUUUUUUUUCUUUUUUUAGAGACAAAGUCUUGCUCUUUUGCCCAGGCUGGAGUGCAAUGGCCAAUCACAGCUCACUGCGUCCUUAAACUCUGGGCUCAAAGGCUCCUCUGGCAUCAGCCUCCCAGGGUAGUCACAGGAUACCUGGGACUACAGACAUGCAUCACCAGUCCUAGCUAGUUUUGUUGUGGUUGUUGUUAUUUAGACAUCAUCUCCCCCUGGUCAUCUUCCCCAGGAUGGUCUCAAACUCCUGGCCUCAAGAGAUCCUCCCACUUCGGCCUCCCAAAGUGUUGGGAUUACAGGCAUGAGCCACAGCACCAAAAGCAAAUUUUAAUAAGUGUACUCUAGCAUCCCCCAACUAAGGACUACUUUGUAAAUACUUCCACAUUUUUGAAGUGUUGGCUAGAAUUCUAACUACCUAUUUUCCCCCCAGUAAGGCUUGUUUGGCUAAAUAUCUUUCUACCCAUCCAUGCCCACCACUAAAGUAUUUUUUAAUUGAUUAGAAAUUUAGUUUAUGCCUCUAUUUCCACUGAAAUUUGAUUGCAUUUCAAAGCUAGCAUUAAAGAAAAUACACAGAAACUUAGAAUGCUAAAAUUUAUCUUCUUUAGGCCCAAUGACUUCCCCAGAAUGCUAAGGCUGAUCGUUUAUUUAAAUGGUUCGCUUAACUAACUUCAGUUCAUCUCCCAAUCGUGUCGUAAAGUUCAGCAACAGCUCAACAUGGCUGCGUUUUAAGAAAGAAGUGCUGGGGCGGGCGCAGUGGCUCACUCCUGUAAUCCCAAAACUUUGGGAGGCCAAGGCGAACGGAUCACGAGGUCAGGAGAUCGAGACCAUCCUGGCUAACAAGGUGAAACCCCGUGUCUACUAAAAAUACAAAGAAUUAGCCAGGCAUGGUGGCACGCGCCUGUAAUCCCAGCUACUUGGGAGGCUGAGGCAGGAGAAUCCAGGAGGCGGAGGUUGCAGUGAGCCAAGAUGGCGCCACUGCACUCCAGCCUGGGCAACAGAGUGAGUCUGUCUCAAAAAAAAAAGAAGAAGAAAAAGAAAAAAAAGAAAGAAGUGCUGUUCUCUUUACUGUUUGUCAGCAUCAAUUCCUGAUACUGUGUUUACUCUUCUGCCUGAAUAGUUCCACGCAGAAUCACACCAUCAUGUUUUAGGUUCCAUCAAAAAUGAAUGAGGAGAGGCCAGGUGCAGUGGCUCAUGCCAGUAAUCCCAGCACGUUAGGAGGCUGAGGUAGGAGAAUUGCUUGAGCCCAGGAGGCAAAGGUUGCAGUGAGCUGAGAAUCAGGCCCCUGCACUCCAGCCUGGGUGACACAGUGAGACACUGCCUCAAACAAUGAGGAGAGUAAAUGGUUACAUGCAUGCUAUUGUUAUAUGUACAUGCCCUUAUGUUAUCCCAUAAGGGAUAAUGCAACAGGAUCUGUUCAUUAUUGAACAGAAUGAAUAUUAAGCGUAUUCAAUAUUGUUCAGUAUUGAACAUUCCUUUUCAUAAAUGUAAAUGAGCAUACUUUUAUGGUAAAGCAUUAAGUUGCCUAUAUUUGAAUUUAAAAAGCAAAUUUUACAUAACUCUGACCUGUAAUCCUAGCUCUUUGGGAUGCCAUGUCAGGAGGAUCUCUUAAGGCCACAAGUUUGAGACCAGCCUGGGCAGAUCCCACCUCUACAAAAAAAAUCCAAAAUGAGCCCAGCAUGGUGGCAUGUGCCUGUAGUCCUAGCUACUCAGGAGGCUGAGACGGGAGGAUCCCUCCUGGCUGCAGUGAGCUACGAUCAUACCACUGCACUCCAGCCUGGGCAACACAGCAAGCCCCUGUCUCAAAAAAAACAAAACAAAAAAGUUUUUAAAUUAAAAAAAAACUUUGAAAUGGAGUCCAAGUCAAAGCAGGUAUUCCUAACCUGAGGUCUUUGAGGAUCCACAGAUUGGUCUUAAAGAAAUCUGUGGUACUCUUGAAAUUGUAUUAAAAUGUUUUACAUAUAUAUAUACACACACACAUCAAUACAUAUAUAAAGCAUAUGUAUGUAACAUAUAUGUCACAUAAGUGCAUGUUUGAGGGAAAAAGGGUCCAUAGCUUUGAUCAGAUUCUUAAAGGGAUUGCUGACCCCAAAAAAGGUCACAAAUCCCCAAUUUUGAUGGAUUUUGUGUCCCUUCAAAACAUAUUUAAUCUGUCUCUCCACCCCCUUUUCCCCUUGCUCCAAAUGCCUGAAAGGUUUAACAUUUAAACACUACUUUUUUCCCUAAUGUAUCCCACAUUUAUCUUUAUAUGCCACUUUUUAGUAAUUUGGAUAAAUUGUCUUUUUUAAGAAGUUAAAUGAAAAUUCCCUUCAUUAGUUCUUCGAUGGACUUGGUGAUAUCUGUACGACCACAGGGUUUAGAAUAAAGUCGCUUGUAAAAAGUAUUAUUUUAUGCCACAUAGCCAUGAUCUCUGAAUGUAUUUUUUGUGACUUUCUGAUUGUAAACCAUUAACAUAUACGAAACAAGACAUUCUGUUUAGUUAAGAACGUUAGCUUUCUGAGGUCAAGGAUCUGUUUCUCUGUUGUUGGUAACUGCUAUCCAACAGUCCCGGAACAUAAUAGGUGCGGAAUGAAAAUAGGUGCAGAGCAAAUGAAAAGGCCUUCAGUGUUUAAAGAAAAUAAACCUAAUUUUUAAAAGAUGGCUCUGCAGUCUGAAUAAAGUAUUGUAGUCCAUUCACACAUUUAUGUUAGGGCUCUAGUUUUAGAGGCUCCAGUGCUAAGACUGGAAACUGAAUAUUUUCUGUGGAAAAUAAAUGAGCAUUUUACUUGUCACUUUUGAGAAGAAAAAAAAAUUAUCUAAUUUUCUAAAUGUUAAGUAGUUCCGACAUCAGCAGCCUAAAGCAAAACACAUACACCCGGAUAUUUCCAUUGUGAUUGGUGUUGGCUUAAAGUAUGCAGGUUCCUACAGGAAAGUUUAAAAGUAAAGUCACUGAAUUUAGUUCUCAAUGAUCUUUGAUUUAAACUUCAAAACUGGAUUGUAUUUUUAAUUUGGAGACUAGCUUAAGCCCCUGUGAUAACCACAAUGGAAGAAACAAGAGCAGAUGGGCAACCUGACGACAUGUUCAAAUUCACGAAAGCAAAGACAGCUGCAGAUGCAGAGGGAUCAGAGUCGAAGGACGCUUCUGAAAGGUCAGGAAUCAGGCCGAGAAACGUACUCUGGGCAAAGGAGGUACUCUGGGCAAAGGAGCUGAGAGCGUAUAUACUAGAAAAGAAAAAGGACAGCCAACCCUGGCACCUGACCUAGCGGCUCUCAACAGGCAGAGGGCCGGCCUGAGCAGACUCGGAGAGUCCCUGGGAAAACAGCAUCCGAACACGUUGACCGGAACAUGGGUGAGGCCAGAAAUUUCGGACGGGGCUUUUCAGACUGGCUCACAAUGUCAACCAAGAAGGAGUAGCAAAUAUCGAGGCAGGGCGUGGAGAGUCAAAAUUCGACGCCAGGGAAAAGGCAGCCCACACAGGCUUCCAGAGCUCUGAGUGAGAGGGGGAUUCCGGGGUGGAAUCCCUGGAGGGAUGUGAGACGGUUCUGUUUGAAUCGGAAGAGAGAAGGAAGUUGAGGGAGUUUGAGGGAACAAAUCCAAAGCCCCCUGGUCUCUUCCUCCUUAUCCUCGCACACUUAAGACACGCACACACACUACUCUUGGUUCCUAAAAUUACUCAACCUCCGCGUUGCGUGUGCAGCGAAAUCCCAGGCGAAAGCGAAGUCAGCUUUCUGCUUCGUCCCCGGCAAAACCCGUUGCACCCUCCAGACGCCCAAGCUUUAGCGGCUGGCAGGAGUCGGAGGCGUGGUUCUGGGCUCCGCGCCGCGCUCAGCCUCUCCAGGCGCGUGUCCCCGGGAACCUGCGCGCCCAGGUGACGACCAGGGCGCGGUCUCGACAGGGAAAACCGGGCUCCUCAGACUCCCCACGCUGACCGCGCAGCCUGGCUUCUCCUCUCCCCCGCCUACAUUCCACGGUCUCAAAGCAAGUGAAAAGUUGAGGAGUCGGUGAAGCCGGGAAACGGUCCUCGCAGGGCCGUCGCCAGCGGUUUGCCAGCGGUUCCUCGGGGAGAGCCUCGAUCAGCCGGACAAAGGCGCUCCAGGCGGCGCGCGAGGAGGAGCCCGGGCGGCGGAGGAAGCGCUAACCCGGCUGGGAAGCAGCUGGGGACCUCAUCCCGGG
rnacentral:lncRNA from 1 species